rnacentral:rRNA from 1 species
UACGAAGGGGCGAGCGUUGUUCGGAAUUACUGGGCGUAAAGGGCGCGUAGGCGGCCGAUCAAGUCAGAUGUGAAAGUCCUGGGCUUAACCUGGGGACUGCAUUUGAUACUGAUUGGCUUGAAUGCAGGAGAGGAUAGCGGAAUUCCCAGUGUAGAGGUGAAAUUCGUAGAUAUUGGGAAGAACACCGGUGGCGAAGGCGGCUCACUGGACCGUAGUUGACGCUGAGGUGGCGAAAGCGUGGGGAGCAAACAGGG